rnacentral:rRNA from 1 species
UUUGGGAGCUUGCUCCCGAGGGUUAGCGGCGGACGGGUGAGUAACACGUGGGCAACCUGCCUAUAAGACUGGGAUAACUUCGGGAAACCGGAGCUAAUACCGGAUAAUUCUUUUCUACACAUGUAGAAAAGCUAAAAGACGGUUUACGCUGUCACUUAUAGAUGGGCCCGCGGCGCAUUAGCUAGUUGGUGAGGUAACGGCUCACCAAGGCCACGAUGCGUAGCCGACCUGAGAGGGUGAUCGGCCACACUGGGACUGAGACACGGCCCAGACUCCUACGGGAGGCAGCAGUAGGGAAUCUUCCGCAAUGGACGAAAGUCUGACGGAGCAACGCCGCGUGAGUGAUGAAGGUUUUCGGAUCGUAAAACUCUGUUGUUAGGGAAGAACAAGUACGAGAGUAACUGCUCGUACCUUGACGGUACCUAACCAGAAAGCCACGGCUAACUACGUGCCAGCAGCCGCGGUAAUACGUAGGUGGCAAGCGUUGUCCGGAAUUAUUGGGCGUAAAGCGCGCGCAGGCGGUCCUUUAAGUCUGAUGUGAAAGCCCACGGCUCAACCGUGGAGGGUCAUUGGAAACUGGGGGACUUGAGUGCAGGAGAGAAGAGUGGAAUUCCACGUGUAGCGGUGAA